GGUGGAGUACUCCUUCUAAGCUAAAUAUCACCACGAGACCGAUAGCGAACAAGUACCGUGAGGGAAAGUUGAAAAGCACUCUGAAUAGAGAGUCAAAAAGUACGUGAAACUGCCUAGGGCUCAAGCCCGUUGAACUCGAUUAUCCGCGGCGGAGAUAUUCACCUGCGGCCGCCCUCGGUCCGCCGGGGGCCACCGCAGGGCACUUACCUCCUGCCUCACGAGGACGUUGCGAUCCAUUACGAAACACGGUUAGCCAGGCAACUGGCUACAGGCCCGGCAAUUGCCCCUUGGCACCUGGUUGCUUGUCCCACAGUAGCGGCGCUCAGUUCGGAAGGCCUGCGUCGCAACCUGGGGCUUACCGGUGCGUGGUGUGCAGCCGGGCGCGUGAUGGAUUCCCGCGUACACCGUCUCGGGUGCUUGCUCACCCACCUCCACCAAGGUGACGGACUGUCGAUCGGCAACGAUAAAAUCGAGGUACCUCCGGGACCCGUCUUGAAACACGGAAAAAAAAUUUCCCA
rnacentral:rRNA from 1 species